rnacentral:rRNA from 1 species
AGAUUUAGAUCAAGACAUCAGGACGAACGCUGGCGGCGUGCCUAACACAUGCAAGUCGAACGAGAAACCAACCUUUGAUUCCUUCGGGAUGAUAAGGCCGGUAGAAAGUGGCGAACGGGUGAGUAACGCGUGGGUAAUCUACCCUGUAAGUGGGGGAUAACCCUCCGAAAGGAGGGCUAAUACCGCAUAACAUCUUCCCUUCAUAAGAAGGAGAGAUUAAAGAUGGCCUCUUUAUAUGCUAUCACUUCAGGAUGAGUCCGCGUCCUAUUAGUUAGUUGGUAGGGUAAUGGCCUACCAAGACCACAAUGGGUAGCCGGUCUGAGAGGAUGUACGGCCACACUGGGACAGAGAUACGGCCCAGACUCCUACGGGAGGCAGC